rnacentral:rRNA from 1 species
UAAGAGGGUUUAAAAUUGACCUUUUUUGUGCAUUUUAGACGAACAUAAAUUUUUUUAAUGUGUCCCAUCUUAACCCCAAUUUUUUAAUAGGUGCCCCCAUAUCAUGGGGUUUCGUGUCCAUAAAUUUCUCAAGAUGUAGACCUCAAACUCAGGUAGGAACACCCGGUGAAUUUAACGCAUCUCAAUAAGCGGAGGAAAAGAAAAUACACAAUGAUUCCCCUAGUAACUGCGAGUGAAGAGGGCACAAGCUCAAAUUUUAAAUCUAUCGGGUUUUACCUGAUCGAGUUGUAAUGUGAAGAGGCGUUUUCUGCGUUUUUGGUCAGCCCAAGUCCUAUUGAAUGAGGCAUCAUGGAGGGUGAUAAUCCCGUCCGGUUGUUCAUUUGCGUUUUACGAUACGCUUUAUAAGAGUCAAGUUGUUUGGGAUUGCAGCUUAAAAUGGGAGGUAAAUUUCUCCUAAGGCUAAAUAACGGCGAGAGACCGAUAGCGAACCAAGUACCCGUGGAGGGAAAGAUGAAAAGAACUUUGAAAAGAGAGUUAAACCAGUACGUGAAAUUGUUGAAAGGGAAACGAUUGAAGCCAGUCGUCCCUUCGGGUAAUUCACCCUUUCGGGUGCGAUUCUGUGGAGUGUGAGGAGCUUAACCCCUUCAUGCUUUGCCAUAUUUGUGUUCUUGGGUGUACUUGCCCCGUGUGGUUGGUUAACAUCAAUUUUGGUUAUCAUAAAAUGAUUGGAGGAAUGUAGCUUCGAUCUCGUAUUGAAGUGUUAUAGCCUUCGGUAAAUGUGAUGAACGAGAUUGAGGAUUGCAACGGAUACCCUUCGGGGCUACCUGUCUGGUCUCUGAUCGUUGCUCUGGUGCCGAAAGCUUGCUUACGGUCAUCAAAGUCGAUGGUCAAUAGGUUAGAACGGGUUAAAUUCGUUAAGGAUGUGACGUAAU